CUCACCAAAACUGCCACUCGCUCAUCUAACAAAAGCCGACGUACGGGGUGGAUUAGGUCAGGCCCCCCCCCCCCACUGUGAAGGAACCAUUUCUUAAAUACCCAAAGUCCCCUUACCCAGAAGUUAUCCGCUAGCAUUUUACUUCAACUAAGGACUUAAAUUAUAACUUGAAACUAGACCGAGACGGAUGAACAAGAAAAUAAAAGGAUAACAACAUCAUUCAACUUAAAGAAUUUCAACAACUUUGAAUUUUUUAUCAUUCCAAAAGCAGAUGGAAUGAAGAAAAGUGUUUUGGAAAACUCACACUUUUUAUACAAGCGACAGGAAAAUUCCCACAAAACAUAGCCUUCAGUUUUUUUCUUAAAGAAAACAUCGCCUGAAUUUAAACUGUUCUAAAAACUAAAACUUAGAAGAAAAAUUUCUUUAAUAAAUUUUUAACGUUUCAAAAAAUCUAGCUCUAAUAAAAAAAAAGUUUUGGUUUAAUCACAGCAAAAAAAAAAAAAGUUAAAGAACGAGGAAGUGGUCACCCAAAAAUU